UGGCUUCCAAAAUAGCCAAAUCCUACCAUUUGGUGCCAUAGGAUAGUUGCAUCUACUGCUCCAUCCCUGUGCUACCUUAUUUAUAAUACCCGUUGACUUGUGUUCUUUCACUCUAGUUUCUAAGCAACCAAAAAUAUCUACUCUAUUCUUUUGCAGAAAAAGUUUCACCUCUUUCUGCUUUAGGGGCUGAUUCAAGCCCCUCACAUUCCAAGUGCUAAUAAUCAUGGAGGGUUAUGGUUCACCCCACGGUCUCCAGGUUGCCCAGAUGUAGCAUUCAAGGGCUGAUCUUGAAGACUGUUGAAUCUGUUAGCAGUAUUGAUAGUAGCCUGCAGUUCUGUCUGCUCAGGUGGGUUAGAAGACUCCAGUUCUGGUUGUUGCUUCCUAGCAACACAUGCACUCCCAGUCUCAGGCGGAUCAGUAGUGACCUGAGCAAUAGUUGGCGCUGGUUCAGUCUCUUUUGACACCCAAUCCUGUCUAAACUGCCUUCUCCUCCUUCUAUGUCUUCUUCUCCUCCUAGGUGCCUUCUGAAAGUUAUCCUCCCUAACCUCUUCCUCUACAUUUGCCCAACAGUCUUCCAUCAUAUGCCUAAAUUUCAUACAAUUUGUGCAGAACUUAGGUCUCCAGUCAUAGUCCACUUCUUGGUUUUUAAUGCCAGUUGAGGUAGUGAUCUCAAUGGAAUCAAUCAAGGGUUGAGCAAUCUGGGUCAAAUUCAAAAUCGAGUUCCCAAUUUUGGACUAUAAAUGGUUUAUUGUGGAAGUAGUAAGGUCCUCCCAGUAGUACCCUUUCACAAUCCUCAGGGUUAGCAAAUCGAAAUAUGAAGUAGCCGGAAUCAUGAGCAAGAACUUGGGGUUUCUCAGUGAAGGACCAAGCAGUUGUAGUAAAACUCUCCAUGGUUUUCAAAUAAGGUGUAUCCCCCACUAUGAACCCUAUUAAAGCAUUUUGCCAGUAGAGGACUUGCGAUUUCACAUCUUCAUCAUCAAUUGUAACACAUUUCUUCCCUGCCUAGUAGUAGGUGCUAUGUAGGUUAGGGAUUUACCUUUUUGAGUUAGUCGAUUCUCACGAUGAUCCUUUUUCUCCGAUGGAUUUUGAUGCGUUGAAGUGCCAGCUUCCGAGAACUGAAGCCGACGAGUUGCCGGAUAGCCAUCCGAACCUCCAAAAUCACGAAGAUGGACUGAUUGUUGCGAAUCUGAGUCGGAUCCCAUGACCUCACCCUCCUCAGGAAUAGAUGAGAACUGAGGGGGGAGGAAGCUCGCAAAAGUGAGAGAAGGGAGUCUGUAGCUAGAACCAUCCUCCGACGUUACCAGUUUCGCCGGCGAAAUAGUGUUUUUGGUGGUGCGGGUCAUUUCUUUACCAACCAGUGCACGUUAGCAGUCCUUACUUAACGUGAGACAGCUCUCGUAAUGCUUAUUGUCAGAGAUGUGAGACAACUCACUUGUCUCACAGAUGAGAUGCUAUGCAACAAUGUUUCUCUUGAACGUCUACUGGUCUUAAAUUGCUGAGAGUUUCGUGAAUUGCCACAAAGCUUGUAAAAUCUCCAUUCUCUCAACAGCUUAAGCAUUGGCUUUUGCACCAAUUUCAGUUCCAUUCCUGUUCCCAGAGGAGAGAAUCAAUUGACUUCCCUCCUAAAACUUCGGUUAUACAAUUGUGAUGGAUUGACUAGUUUACCAAGUGGAAUGCUAGAGCAUUAUCGUUCUUUGGAAUCUGUAAAUGUCAACAAAUGUAACAACUUAGUUUCCUUCCCUUUACAUGUGUGGGAAAUGCCUUCACUUUCAUAUUUGAAUAUAUCAAAAUGCCCCAAAUUGGAUAGUGUGCCCACAGGAGGCCUUCAGCGUCACACAGGGUUAAGGAGAUUGUGUAUUGGUCCUUUCUCAGAGUUGGUGGAUUUUGAGGCAUUCCAAUUGGUUUUUAAUGGCAUUCAGCAGCUAUCGUCCCUUCGUGAGUUCUGGGUGCACGGACGUGCACACUGGGAUUCUCUGCCCCAUUAGCUUAUGCAACUCUCUACCCUAACAGAGAUAGGAAUAAAUGGUUUUGGAAUCAAGGCUCUUCCUGAUAGUCUUGUCAACCUUACUUCUCUCGAAACAUUGGAGCCAGUGAGCUGCAAACGGCUACAACAUCUGCAGAUCCACGAUUGUCCGUUGCUAGAAGCUCUGUCGGAUGGGCUCGUCAACCUUGUUUCUUUGGAAGAGUUAAGUUUAUCAAACUGCAAAAAUCUAUAGCAUCUUCCAUCCAGUGAUGCCAUGCGACGCCUAACCAAAUUAUCGUACCUGAAUAUUAAAGGCUGCCCAAAGUUAGAAGGAAGUUGCAUCAAUCGGAGUGGCCCAAACUCCUAGUGGUCCAAGAUUUCUCAUAUUCCAGUAAUUAUCGUGGGACUCAGGACAAUGCAGAACUUGCGUCACUGUUUCUCUUUCAAUUUAUGAAUGAUUAUCUCUUUUUUUUCGACGAGUUCCUCUCCAUUAGUUUUCCAAGCUUUUCAAUUCCCAACCAAUACAUCUUACUGUAGUACUGAAGAAGUCCAGAAUUUUUUUAGUAUUAAUUCAGUCCUUUUCUUUGCAAUUAUUUGACAUCAAGAAAAAUGCUAAGUUAUCAGUGAAUUGGAUCUGUGCCUUCCCUUCAUCAUUUUGCAAUUCCAAUUCCAUUUGACACUGUUGGACUGGUUCGAACCAAUUCUUAUUCUUCUAAAUCUUCAUCAAACAAGGAAUACCUACAUUCCUUUAAAUAUGUGGUUUUAAUUAUGAAAAUUUAUCUUCUAUCUCAUAGGUGACUAGAUCAAAUGUCAUGCUACAAGGUUUCUGUGGUAUACAGGCCGCUGUUGCAGUCUCUCCUGAGCAUGCAAACCUUGAAUUUUGUUGAAGGACAGCGUCUUCAGCUAUACAUUCCUUACCAUUUGGUAAGGACUACAGAAUCUCUCAAAUGCGAAAAGCAAUCACAUGUCUUUAUAGUUCAAAGACCUCCAUAUAUGCUUCUUGCAAACUUCAUUUCUAGUUUCCCUUGAGCUGAUUUUUAGUGUUUGACCUUACAUCCGCGGAGUUAUUUCCUAAGAAACACAUCUUAGGUUCCUGAAAAUUUCUUUGUUAGGCUUGAUAAUCAUGCAACAAGAGACUUUCCCAUAUUUUACUCUUCAUAAUGCGGGAUAUCUACAAUUAUUAAGAAAUACACGUUGACUAUAUUCUUCUGUGGUUUAUUUUGCAAACUUAUGAACUGUUCUAAACUUUCCCUUUGGGUUUUUCACUUGAACCUUUGUUCUUCUACUUGGUCCUCUUUAGGUAACUUCUUUUAUAUUGUCCUUGAAAUACGAAAAAUUACUUGUUUUAGAUGUUAUUUUAACUGACCACAUAGGAACAAGUAAUUCAACUGGUGCUCAACAAUGACUUGAAUGCAUUGCAAAAGGAUUUUUUUUUUUUUUUUGGCAUCAUUGCAAAAGGCUGCUGUAACGUGUAUAUCCUUUUGUAGUUUAAAUUUUACUGGAAGUGCAAAUGAGAUUAUCAUCAAAAAACUCAAUGCAUAUAGAACAUCAAAAAACUCAACGCAUAUAGGGGGCUAAAUGAGAAGCUACACGGGUCUAUCCUCCGUCUUUGCAUGGCCUUGUUUGCCUUUUUAUUGUCCAUGGAAGUUUCUGUAUUUUUAUUUGACUAAAAAGUCUGAUAUUUACUCUCAUCGGGGCGUGGUAGUUAACUUAUUUUAAUGCCGGGAUAACACUUCUGUAGCAUAUUGUAGCUUACGAAUGACUUUCGGCAUUUGGACCAGAUAAAUUAUAUACUUCUUCAAUCUAUCAUGCCAUUUCCUAUAAUAUGACCCUCCCUAUUUGCUAAGGAUCUUUUCAUUUUACCUCUUUACAAAUUCUCUUAUUGCAUCAGUCAACUAUCUAUGAAAUUGUGUAACUGUUAAACUACCAGUUUUGAAAGGGAAUGUGUUGGUUUGCAAGCAGAUUUAGGAUGUAAGCUGUUCGGAAGAUCCUACAUUAGUUUCAGUCAGUUUGGUGCUUCACUCAAUUCUUCAUUUUUCUUUUUCCAGAACUUUAGUGUAUUAUAUUAAAUUGAUGAUAGGAGCGUUUAUUGGAUUCUAUCAACAUUUAAACUCCACCUAUUUUCCCCCUUUCAUUUGUUGUAUUAAUGUCUGACCCUCCUAUCUCCCAACCUGUACAAAAGAAGAAGAAUCUCAGUAUUUGUCAUAUCUAUUCAGGUGCCAUUGAAUUCUGUCAUGAGUUGCAGCUCAAAUAAAUUCUCACUGAUUGUUUCGACGGAUGCAGCUAGCUAGGAGGUUUCUCUGAUACAAACGUAAAUUGUAUAUGCACUAUUAAAUGCGCGUAGCUUUCAUGGCAGCCAAGUCUUAAAUGGUGGAAGUAUGCUUAAGAACAAUUCUGAAGUAUGCCAAAUCUUAUUUUUCAGCUCCUUUUCUCAUUAGAAUGUUGUACGGUUAGCAGGGAUGCUAUUGUAGCAAUCUCCCUUUGAGAAGGACCUAGGACUUGAAUGGAUUGACCAGUUUGAGGGGCAUCAGUUCAUUAGGUUGAAGGAUUCUCUAUUCUGCUUCUUGAACCAAAGAUUUCCAUUGGCGCCUUUGGAGACUCUGGUUACACGAAGCUUGAAAUUUCAAGAAGGACUUGAAAGCCAUUCAUCGGGAGUACGUGAUAGACUACCAUCGACUAGUGCAAUUGUGCAUUAGUCGUUAACCUAAGCUUGAUCGUUCCAACUUGGUGCGUGUGACAUGCUACACGUUCUUUUUCCUCUCUAUUCAUCGGAUAUGCCUGUGAUUAGUAACCACCCAAACUGAACUUGUUAACUGGAAGUGAUAGGCAAAAUACCUAUCAAGAAAUAUGUAAAUAACAAUAUUUGCAAUAAAUUAACGAGAUCGGGUUAUUUAAGUAGCGUUUUGGAUCAAAAUCAAAUGGAGGAAACAACAACCUAGAUACACCAGCACAAUGACGAGGAAUACCACAAAUGAAAAAGAUUUUUCCCAUUUGUAAGAGUUACUUUAUCAUUUCCGAAAUUAAGUGUUUUUCUGUCUCGUUACUAUCACAAGAGGUGCAACCAGGAUUUGAGAGUAAUGGGGGCACUACUUUUAUGUGGCUACAAAAAUUGUCGGAAAAAUGUUUUUGUGAUGCUGGAGUGGGAAAGAACCCAGGUCUAAGCAUUAAAGGAUCAUUUGUGCACCUUAUCAAUCACUGUUGCAACCUGAUCUUUGUGAAUGAGGGUGUCAAUCAAAAUAUGUACAUAAUAUAUAAGAUAUAUAUACAUAUAUUUUUUCUGAGGUUACUGGGGGCACCUGACCCCCUACUAUAGGGGUAGGUCUGCCUCUGACUA